rnacentral:lncRNA from 10 species
UGGUUACCCUUCUUUUAGCACUGGCUUUGAUUUCCACCGGAAUCUUCCUGGGUUUACGGUGAGACUAGAGUGAUGGGGUGUUUGUCUCCAGGUCCCGCUGCACCCUCAGCUUCCAGCCUUCCCUGGGUGAACCUUCCUUGCCACGCUGGUCCUCCCCUCCUGGCCCACAGCUUACUUCUUGCUCCAAGUUUGCUGGUCAAGACAUGGGGGCUUGGAUAAUGGAUCCAACGUGACCAAGGAGUGACUCAUCUUUCUGCCUACUCCAUGCUCUUCAUCGUCUGAUUCCAUUAUUUCUCAAGUGUGCUACGCGAUUGUGUUCCUGUUAGCUUUUACUUUCCUGAACAGGAUCAUGUUCUAAAGAUGAGAAGCCACGCUAUUACCAGCAGGUUGGAAGAUGAAUAAAGGCACCGUCGAGGCCUCUGAUGGACUAAACCUGCAUGUUCAGCACCCAAAUACAAAGUAAGGAAAAG